GUAGGCGGCAAGCGUUGUCCGGAAUUAAUGGGCGUAAAGCGCGCGCAGGCGGUUCUUUAAGUCUGAUGUGAAAGCCCACGGCUCAACCGUGGAGGGUCAUUGGAAACUGGAGAACUUGAGUACAGAAGAGGAAAGCGGAAUUCCACGUGUAGCGGUGAAAUGCGUAGAGAUGUGGAGGAACACCAGUGGCGAAGGCGGCUUUCUGGUCUGUAACUGACGCUGAGGCGCGGAAGCGUGGGGAGCAAACAGGAUUAGAUACCCUGGUAGUCCACGCCGUAAACGAUGAGUGCUAAGUGUUAGGGGGUUUCCGCCCCCCUUAGUGCUGCAGCUAACGCAUUAAGCACUCCGCCUGGGAGUACGGCCGCAAGGCUG
rnacentral:rRNA from 1 species